rnacentral:rRNA from 1 species
GAUGAACGCUGGCGGCGUGCCUAAUACAUGCAAGUCGAGCGAAUGGAUUAAGAGCUUGCUCUUAUGAAGUUAGCGGCGGACGGGUGAGUAACACGUGGGUAACCUGCCCAUAAGACUGGGAUAACUCCGGGAAACCGGGGCUAAUACCGGAUAACAUUUUGAACCGCAUGGUUCGAAAUUGAAAGGCGGCUUCGGCUGUCACUCAUGGAUGGACCCGCGUCGCAUUAGCUAGUUGGUGAGGUAACGGCUCACCAAGGCAACGAUGCGUAGCCGACCUGAGAGGGUGAUCGGCCACACUGGGACUGAGACACGGCCCAGACUCCUACGGGAGGCAGCAGUAGGGAAUCUUCCGCAAUGGACGAAAGUCUGACGGAGCAACGCCGAGUGAGUGAUGAAGGCUUUCGGGUCGUAAAACUCUGUUGUUAGGGAAGAACAAGUGCUAGUUGAAUAAGCUGGCACCUUGACGGUACCUAACCAGAAAGCCACGGCUAACUACGUGCCAGCAGCCGCGGUAA